CAGUAGUGUAUAUCAAAGUUGUUGCGGUUAAAAAGCUCGUAGUUGGAUUUCCCGGGUGAUUUUUGAGGGACGUGCUGUGGUCAUUUGAACCGUAGGCGAACCUUUCCCGGUGGUGGCGGGUCGGACCAAAUUUUUGGCCGGUGCGGCGCAUGUACUUUGAACAAAUUAGAGUGCUCAAGACAGGCUAUUUUUAAGAUGCUGUGAAUAGAUUAGCAUGGAAUACGGGUAUAAACUCUCUUCUCGGGAUUGUUGUUUUGACGAGGAGGGGGAAUGAUGGAUAGGGACAGGUGUGGGCAUUGAGAUUGUUACGUCAGAGGUGAAAUUCUUAGAUCGUAGCAGGAUUAGCAGACGCGAAAGCAUUUGUCAAGGAUGUUUNCAUUG
rnacentral:rRNA from 1 species